GUAGGGCGGGACACGUGGUAUCCUGUCUGAAUAUGGGGGGACCAUCCUCCAAGGCUAAAUACUCCUGACUGACCGAUAGUGAACCAGUACCGUGAGGGAAAGGCGAAAAGAACCCCGGCGAGGGGAGUGAAAAAGAACCUGAAACCGUGUACGUACAAGCAGUGGGAGCCUCUUUAUGGGGUGACUGCGUACCUUUUGUAUAAUGGGUCAGCGACUUAUAUUCUGUAGCAAGGUUAACCGAAUAGGGGAGCCGAAGGGAAACCGAGUCUUAACUGGGCGUUAAGUUGCAGGGUAUAGACCCGAAACCCGGUGAUCUAGCCAUGGGCAGGUUGAAGGUUGGGUAACACUAACUGGAGGACCGAACCGACUAAUGUUGAAAAAUUAGCGGAUGACUUGUGGCUG
rnacentral:rRNA from 1 species